rnacentral:rRNA from 1 species
AUUGAACGCUGGCGGCAGGCCUAACACAUGCAAGUCGAACGGUAGCACAGGAGAGCUUGCUCUCUGGGUGACGAGUGGCGGACGGGUGAGUAAGGCAUGGGGAGCUGCCCAAUCGAGGGGGAUACCAGCUGGACACGGCUGCUAAUACCGCAUACGCCCUGCGGGGGAAUGGUGGGGACCUUCGGGCCUACCGCGAAUGGAUGUACCCAUGUGGGAUUAGCCAGUUGGUGGGGUAACGGCUCACCAAGGAGACGAUCUCUAGCUGGUCUGAGAGGAUGACCAGCCACACUGGAACUGGGACACGGUCCAGACUCCGACGGGAGGCAGCAGUGGGGAAUAUUGCACAAUGGGGGAAACCCUGAUGCAGCCAUGCCGCGUGUGUGAAGAAGGCCUUCGGGUUGUAAAGCACUUUCAGUGGGGAGGAAGGGGCGAUGCCUAAUACGCAUUGUCAUUGACGUUACCCACAGAAGAAGCACCGGCUAACUCCGUGCCAGCCGCCGCCGUAA